UCCUCGCGCGCCCCGCCCCGCUGCGCCCCGCCCACCCGGCCCGGCUUCUGCCGACAGCUGGGCGGGGACGCGCACGCAGUCCCGGCGGGGACGCGCACGCCGCCCUCUGACCCCGCAGCGUCGUGGCUAGAGUAGGGUCUGGAGAGAGCUCCCACUGUGGCGAGUCCUGUCGUUGGAUUCCCGCGGCGCCCCGUAAGGCUCCGCCCCGGCGGUGCUACCAAACCCUGUUCGAUUUUAGAAUCGUACAUUCCCAGAGGGAAUCCUAGACCCCUCAUUUUACAGUUGAGGAAACAGGCCCAAGUAGCAUGACUUGUUCGCGCCGCUAGUCGAAGGAGCAGCAGCCCCGAUCCCUUGACUCUGGGGCACUGCUUUCCCUUUAGCUCAUUUUUGGAGGAAAUGGGUGCGCCCUUGCUCGACCUUUGGUGAUUGCCGCCACAGGCCUUCCCGCCGGCUAACUCAGCGUGCCCAAGUCCCGUGACUUAGUGCCAGGACGGUGCUGUGACCCGUUAUCCCCUGUCGGGUUUUACCUCCCCCCGGGAGAGCUCAGCCCUGGAUCCCGGCGGGCGGCGGAGCCUCUCUGGAGCCCGGACGGGACAGCCCACCAGGGUCUGCUUCUGUGAGGGGCCGAGGCGUCAUUCCGCGAAGGUAAUUAGCUGGGGAGGGGACUUGAAGCCGCU
rnacentral:lncRNA from 1 species